CAGGGGGGCCCCACCUUUCGCCCCUCACUCACUUUUAUGCCUGGGAGCUGACGGCUCCGUGCACCAGGCCGAAGCACCCGGCACCGGCCUUUCCAGAAACCUCCGCCACCAGAUCCGCACGGGCUCUGCCGAGCGGAUGGAUCUCCGCCGCGAACCAGGGCCACCCACCCCCUCCCGUUCUCCCGUUUUAUUUUUCUCACCUGCUCCUCGGCCCACACCUGCGUCUCCCUGGCAGGCACCGAGGCCCGUGUGGAUGCCAGACCCCCCCGUCUCUCUAGGCACCUUCCCCGUCCUUGCCGGCUGCCACCCCCGCCCUCUCCCCGGCCUUUAUGAGGCCAGGAAAGUGUUCUUCUGCGGGGUCGGUAGCAUCUUUAAAAAACGAUUUUCUUGCUUCUCGGAAGGGGCUAAAUAUAGCACAGGCAUAAACAGAGAAAUAGACAUUAAGUCAAAAUGCCCUUGUGAGAACCAUGCCGGGUGCAAGGAACUCUUUAAGAAGACUUGAUGAAGCUCCACCAUCCCUGGAACCGACCGCAGCUCCAAGCCGUGGGGGAAAGCAGCCCGGCUUUUUAGGAUUAUUGAACUGUGCCGUCGGCGGAGCUGCUCAGCGCACAGAACCACACGAUGAGCCAGCAUGCACAGUGAGGGACCGCUCGACAGGACUCCUCUCCGCAGAAGGCUUGCCGGAGACGCCGUGGGGAGGGCCAUUUGAACAUUACAUCCAAUCAAAGUGUCAUUUGCAACCCAGAUGUAAAACUCUAAUGAUUUGGCCAUGAGGCGCUGCUAUUAUAAGCAGCUGGAAAUGAAUAUUAAUGGCAGAGAUUAAAAGUAUUCCAUGCUCAGUAUUUUUUAUUGUCCUGCUACAGCUAGUGUGCUUUUAGAGUUUCCGCCGCAGACUACAUUUCUAGAGUUAGAGAAACCCGCUUUUGGAAGCGAUUGUCCUUUGUUCCUUCAUGUAUUAUAUUGAUAGUUUUUUUUAAAAAAAGGAUUAGUGUGAUUUUUUUUUUCUUCGCUUCUUAUUUUUCUUUCUUGUUUUUCUUUCCCCCCCUUCGGUUAACUACUUUUUAAUUGCAAUUCUAGGUAAUUGUGCAUCGUGAUGUGAUUGCUUGGCUAUUGUCUGAAUAUUUCCUUUUAAUUUUUUAAUUAAAGACUAAUGCUUUGAUUGGAUUUGCCAGUUCACCGGACAGUGAUUAAAACUAUGUAAUGAAUAUAAUCGGUUUCAGUGCAACUGGAUGGUCUGCUUUUAAAUGUGACUUAAUCUGACUGCAGUAACUAGUACAGUUCAAUAAAGGGAAUCCAUGCGAUUAGCA